rnacentral:rRNA from 1 species
GAUGAACGCUGGCGGCGUGCUUAACACAUGCAAGUCGAACGAAGCAUUUAGAACAGAUUACUUCGGUUUGAAGUUCUUUAUGACUGAGUGGCGGACGGGUGAGUAACGCGUGGGUAACCUGCCUUGUACUGGGGGAUAGCAGCUGGAAACGGCUGGUAAUACCGCAUAAGCGCACAAUGUUGCAUGACAUGGUGUGAAAAACUCCGGUGGUAUAAGAUGGACCCGCGUCUGAUUAGCUAGUUGGUGAGAUAACAGCCCACCAAGGCGACGAUCAGUAGCCGGCCUGAGAGGCGGACCGGCCACAUUGGGACUGGGACACGGCCCAGACUCCUACGGGAGGCAGCAGUGGGGAAUAUUGCACAAUGGAGGAAACUCUGAUGCAGCGACGCCGCGUGAGUGAAGAAGUAAUUCGUGAUGUAAAGCUCUAUCAGCAGGGAAGAUAGUGACGGUACCUGACUAAGAAGCGCCGGCUAAAUACGUG